AGCAACUAAUUUCAAGCAUUCUUAGGCAUGCCACAUAUGAUAAAAUAUUUAGAACCAAUCAUUUAGUCAUGUCAUUAUGAAUUUCUUAAUGACAAAUUGCUGGGCCUCACAAAACCUUCACACCAAUUCAAUGUAUCAUUCCAGCCAAUAGCAUAUCAUAUUCCUCCCUCUUCGUUAACCCUAACCUCCACAAUUCUUAUAAGCUUAAAAUAGUUAAGGCAAAUUACACUACACCAUUAAAUAAUUCAUACCACCAUCUUUCAAAAUUCCGGCUAGAUAGAUACACUUUCUCCACUGUUCAGAGCCAUUAACACCUUAAUCAGAUCAAAAACCCCAACCUAACGACUCUCUUCAACUUCCCCAUCUCCAUCUAUAUAACCCUUUAGCCACUUACGAAGCUCAAGUAUUCUCCAAAGUUAUAUGAAAAUACCUACCGCAGCUAUGGCUGGACAAACUCCAACUCAACUGCACGAAAUCCAGUCGAGGCGUGUUGAAGAAGAGUUAGAGUUUGUAUUAUGAUCAGAGUACGCAAAUUUCUGUCUAGAUCGGCCAUUUAGAUCCCUGCAACUGAAUCGCCACUGCCGAAGAGACGACGUAGCAGAAGAUGAAAGAUGUUUUUUCGUUCGAGAACUUUCGUAUUGAAUCUCUUCAUAAACUCUUGGUAAGCUUAUGUUAAGUUUAAUGUUCUAAAUCUGAUCUGAUUUGAUUCGAUAUUAUACAUCGACGAAAUUAAGCUUUUAAAUUUAGUCAUGAUAAUUGAUACUGUUAUGAAAAAUUCCUUUGAGAUUAGGAAGCAUAAGUAUAUUGAAGCUCCAGACUGGUAAUGAUUUGUUUUUAAAAAAAAUUAUUGCUCGAAUGUAUGGUUUGUCUAUGCUCUUUCUUGAUUAAUAGUGUUUGUAUGAUUUUUUGCAGAAAUGACAAAGCAAAUCUGCUCAAAUAUUAGCCACAGACCUGAAAGUUUUUGCGGCUUUCAACUAACUUUACAAAGAGAUCACUCAGCUUCUGACUCUAGAGAAUUUUAGAAGCUGAUCGAGGGAAAUCCUUUGUUUGAUGUGAAGCUUCCCUUUCCCAGUUUCAAGGCUUCCCAGCUCAGAACUUUGAUCAAUCAAAGGUUGUACAAAGUCUUGAACAUUCUUGAGUUCAAUAGCACGAGGCAAAAUAUGCCAAUAAUAGUGCAUGAUAAAGAUGGAAAACUCUGACUACUUUUUGAAAAACCAAAUAAGUAAGUGUAACUGGUGAUUUCAUAUAACAAAGUAUACAUAUCUUCCUUUUCAAAUUAUUUUAUGCCACUUCCUUUUCAAAAAAUUUGGAGAAUGCAUGCUUGAUCAUUAGUAUAUUAUAUACAUAUGGGAUUGGUCAUAUAAUACACUGAAAACGUAGCUCCAAUUGCUGAUUUUUCAUGGGAUGUUAACGCAACGAUAUUGCUAUCUUUAUUACAAACUCAUGUUGGAUGUGAUCUUGACUUCAGGAAUCUUUUAUUUUCCUAGAUUGAUAAUUCUAGAAGCAGAAGCAUGUAAUACAAAGUUUGGAUAUUUAUAGUUAAUUAACUAACUUGUCAUGAUCUGUGUUUGUACCAGGUCAAAGUUGGGUGCACAAGGCAGGAAGCAACUGUGCUUAAUAAUGAUUUACUAUACACAUGCUUUACUAUAUUUACUCUGAAAUUCUAUCUGAAUAAAAUAUUUUCAUAUCUUUUUUUUCAUUUUUUCAUUAAAACAUAUAUAUUUCAUUUUAUCAUUAAAAUAAAUAUUUGGAUAAUUAAGUAAUUUCAAAUUUAUUUAAAAUAAAUUUAUAUUUCAUUUUUAUUUUAAACAAAACUUUUAAAUAUUUAGUUAAUGUCGUAUUUAUUUUAAAAUUAAAUUUAUAUUUCAUU